rnacentral:rRNA from 1 species
UCAUUCUAGAUACACUUUCCAGUACAUCUACUAUGUUACGACUUAUCUUACCUUAAUAAUAAGAGCGACGGGCGAUGUGUACAUAUUUUAGAGCUAAAAUCAAAUUAUUAAUCUUUAUAAUUUUACAACCAAAUCCACCUUCAAAAAUUUUUUCAUAAUUUUAUCCGUUUAAAUAAAUUUAUUGUAACCCAUUAUUACUUAAAUAUAAGCUACACCUUGAUCUGAUAUAAAUUUUAAUUAAAAUUAUUGAAUAUUAUUAUUCUUAUAAAAUAUUCUGAUAACGACGGUAUAUAAACUGAUUACAAACUUAAGUAAGGUCCAUCGUGGAUUAUCGAUUAAAAAACAGGUUCCUCUGGAUAGACUAAAAUACCGCCAAAUUUUUUAAGUUUCAAGAACAUAUCUAUUACUACUU